GCACGAUCUUCUAGGAAAGAAGGAGGUAACAGAUGCUCAUUGUGACGUGAACGUAAUUUCAGUACCUGCAUAGGAGAAAUGACGACCGGAGCCACCCGAGCUUAAAGGGUGCCUGAUUAUCUGGUUUAUCUUCGUUCUCUGGGCUGUAUCAUCGGCCGCUGGAACGAGACCCGUCGGCUGAGAGUUGUGCCUGAACUUUGGUUUCAUAACAACAGCAGAGACAGUUGUUCUUGCGACAGACCUCUCUUGGACUGAACAAAAACAUGUACGGCCCAUGUGCAGUCCAUACAAGAAAUACAAUGUUAGCUCGGCUAGUCUGGAGCUAACUAUGAUCUUAGUUUAUUUUAUACUUUCCCCCACUGUAUUGUCGCUGCCUUCCUCCUUCCAGCCCCAUUCCUGUCCACCUCCCAUAUUACGUGGCCCUGGCACCAUUUGCUUGCUAAGGAAAGGGUUGCUGGGGUUCUUGUUGCAGCAAUGUCUAAGCUUCUAUCUCAUCCUCUAGCAUUAAUACAGGUUUUUAGCUUAAUGUGGAAUCUGAUGAUAUCUCUUAUGACACAGAGGAAGAAUUUUCCAUUUUGUUUCAGAAUUUUUAUGGAAAGAAUUGAAAAGUUUGGGGGGGGGGGAGUAAGAGUUUUGCCCAACGAAUGUUAAAAACAGAGUAUUUUCAUGGUUAUGGAACUGAAAAGUUUUUCCUGCAUUCCCUCUCCUGCUCCUUUCUUUCCUUUAAAAGGAGAGGGGAGAGCAGAACUAAUAAAGAGGUAUUUCUUCCUUCACUAGGGUUGCAAAAUGUCAACCCACCAAUGGAGCUUUGUCUUGAGCAUUUUGUUAGAGUUAGAAAUAAAGGGAUAUUUUAUUAGAAAGAAACCUUUACUAAACAAAAACUCAGACUAGUUCCCAUUAUUGACUUUUAAAUUAUGUGCACAGACCUGUCUUUUCUUUCUGUUUGAACGGCAUCUAGCACAUAGAGGCUUCAGAUAUGCCUUAUGCCUCUGCUGCAGCAGUGAGAGUAACGUGCUUCAGUGUUUGCUUAUGAAUAUUUCCUUAUUGUCCAUCACCAUUAUGGAACAUAAAUAUGCGCUGUAAACUUGUCACCCCCUUCAACCUGGGAUGCAAGGAGGCAUUCCUGCACCAGUGAUCUGUUGCACUGUGGUUAAACUCUGCUAAAGUUCCUCCUUCUGCCCAAGGCUGUGGGGUAGAUGGACUUAUUCCCACUGCCCGUGAAGUUCAAGCCUCCAUCAGAGAAGCUGCAGCCUUCAGCGUGGGAGAGGAGAGAGGGGCUGCUGUUGUUCAUGUUUGUGCAUGGCCGGGUUCCACUUUGGCAGACAGGAGAGGCUGCAGUCUGAAAGCCGUGGGCCGAUAAGUGGCUUUUGAGAGAUAAGAUAUGAAAGACUCUGUAAUUCUGGAUGAGAGUGUUGAGUAGUUUAUAUGUGUAAGUCCAGAUGUUCAGUAAAAGGAGCUGUUCCAGC
rnacentral:lncRNA from 7 species